GACGAACGCUGGCGGCGUGCUUAACACAUGCAAGUCGAACGGAAAGGCCCUGCUUGCAGGGUACUCGAGUGGCGAACGGGUGAGUAACACGUGGGUGAUCUGCCCUGCACUUCGGGAUAAGCCUGGGAAACUGGGUCUAAUACCGGAUAGGAGCCAUCUUUAGUGUGAUGGUUGGAAAGCUUUUUCGGUGUAGGAUGAGCUCGCGGCCUAUCAGCUUGUUGGUGGGGUAAUGGCCUACCAAGGCGGCGACGGGUAGCCGGCCUGAGCGGGUGGACGGCCACAUUGGGACUGAGAUACGGCCCAGACUCCUACGGGAGGCAGCGGUGGGGAAUAUUGCACAAUGGGCGCCAGCCUGAUGCAGCGACGCCGCGUGGGGGAUGACGGCCUUCGGGUUGUAAACUCCUUUCGCUAGGGACGAAGCUUUUUGUGACGGUACCUAGAUAAGAAGCACCGGCUAACUACGUG
rnacentral:rRNA from 1 species